ensembl:misc_RNA Metazoa_SRP Metazoan signal recognition particle RNA
GUCGGGUGCAGUGGCGUGCGCCUGUAAUCCAAGCUGCUGGGAGGCUGAGGCUGGCGGAUCGCUUGAGUUCAGGGGUUCUGGGCUGCAGUGGACUAUGUUGAUCGGGUGUCCGCACUAAGUUCGGUAUCGAUAUGGUGUUCCUGGGGGAGCUCGGGACCACCAGGUCGUCUAAGGAGGGGUGAACCGGCCCAGGGCGGAGACGGAGCAGGUCAAAGCCCCCGUGUCGAUCAGUAGUGGGGUCGCGCCUGUGAAUAGACACUGCAGUGCAACCUGAGCGAUACAGCGAAACUCAGACUUU